CUCAUUUCUGUUCUCAACUCUCUUCUCAGUCCUCACGUUUUUCUUCUUUCUUUUUUUUUUGGUUCAGGAACUCUUCCUAAAGAAGUUUUGGAGAACCGAACAUCCCAACAUCAUCAAGAAUUGAAUUAUGUAAGGGUUUAAGUGUUAGUGUCUCUUGGAGAAGAGGAAGAGUUAGUAAGAAGGGAAACUGCAUGUGGCUUUUAAAUUUGAUUUGGUAAUUUUUCUAUAGUCUUGGAACGUCAUUGAGCUACAAGCAUGUAUCGUUGAACUCGAGUUGCACAAAACCUCAAACAGAGGCCAUUGUCAUAGACAACAUUAAGCGGUAGCACUUACCGCUAAGUGCAGACUCAACAAGAAGCCCCUGAAAGAUUGGAGUUGGGCGACACCUUAUUGCUACUAGGUGGUGAUGAAGUCAAAGAGACCAUGUUGCUCUAGCAUUGAAUGUGUCUUCUAGCACUAAGCAGUGACCCGUUGAAUGUUUUAUUCUAUGUGAUUUGUUGAGGAUCUAUGGUCCUUUUCACUUUCUAAGGGAUCUAGGUAGAAGAUGCUUGAGACUUGUAUGACUUAGUAGUAUUCCAUAUUGAUGAAUUGUAGUUAGUUCCACGAGUGAUGAUAUGUGUGUGG
rnacentral:sRNA from 1 species